AAUGACGCUGGCGGCGUGAUUAACACAUGCAAGUCGAACGGAAUCCAAGGAGCUUGCUCUGGAAGAUUUAGUGGCGAACGGGUGAGUAUCACGUGAGCAACCUGCCCCGAAGACUGGGAUAACACCGGGAAACCGGUGCUAAUACCGGAUGUCUUUCAAUGGUCGCAUGAUCGAUGAAAGAAAUGUUUUUUCGCUUUGGGAGGGGCUCGCGGUCCAUCAGCUUGUUGGAGGGGUAACGGCCCACCAAGGCUAMGACGGAUAGCUGGUCUGAGAGGACGAUCAGCCACACUGGAACUGAGACACGGUCCAGACUCCUACGGGAGGCAGCAGUGGGGAAUCUUGCGCAAUGGACGAAAGUCUGACGCAGCAACGCCGCGUGAGGGACGAAGGCUUUCUGAGUUGUAAACCUCUUUCGACAGGAACGAUUGUGACGGUACCUGUAGAAGAAGCACCGGCCAACUAUGUGCCAGCAGCCGCGGUGAUACAUAGGGUGCGAGCGUUAUUCGGAUUUAUUGGGCGUAAAGAGCUCGUAGGCGGUUCGACAAGUCGGGUGUUAAACCCCCAGGCUCAACCUGGGGCCGCCACCCGAAACUGUCGUGACUAGAGUUUGGUAGGGGAUCACGGAAUUCCUGGUGUAGCGGUGGAAUGCGCAGAUAUCAGGAGGAACACCAGUAGCGAAGGCGGUGAUCUGGGCCAAUACUGACGCUGAGGAGCGAAAGCGU
rnacentral:rRNA from 1 species